rnacentral:lncRNA from 1 species
GGAGCAAAGGUAGCCGAAAAAGAAGAUGCAGCGACUGCAACGCCGUCAGACGACGUUGCGGGUCUCUCGUCUUUCAUUGGCAAGGAUGCAGAGAAGGAACUACGUCGGGUGAUACCAGUGUUGUCGGCCAAGAUGGUGGACCCGUGCAUCCUUACGACGAUGCCGGAUAUAACGGAGGCCGGCAUGGACGUAGAUUCCCUGUGCAAAUCCACUUGCAAGUACCAGCAGCUCGUCUCGCAACUCUACCGGAAGCGCUCAUCGCGGAUGUGCCGGAACCUGGGCGAGGGCGGAUAUUGCGACCAGACGACUUGCAGGUGCAACCAGUACUACAAGAUUUGGGUGCCCGGCCGCGGACGCAAGCGGGUCCCUCAUCGAGUGCCCAUGAUUUACUGCAACAAAAACUCAACUGCAGAUUUUUCAACAACAUUUUCAAACCUGAAAUGUUUUCCGCCCGAUUUUAACCUCUCUCUUUCUGUGGACGAUUGUAAUUGGACCCGACUUUUUUAUUGGCGAGAUACUAACGCAAAACUUUCCCGGUGAGUUGACUGUUUUUUUAAAAAAAAUUCCUCUCUGCUAUUACAAUGUAGCCGUCAGUCUAUACAUAACAAAGAAACAAUAUUAUUAUUUACAAAAUAAAGAAAUUGGGAGAUAAAAGAAUAAACCAUGCUCAGUAAACAAUGAAGACAAAAUAAAAAAUGGCUAAAAUAGAAAUGUUGUUCCAGCACCAGGAGAACAAUGUUAAAACUUAAUAAGUAAUAUCUAUUCUUUUAAAUCUCUAGAUUUUGUGUCUUAAGAGGUGAAUGGUACCGAGAAGAUUCUUUUGAUCACACUAGUUGGCAGUCAUUGAACUUGAGAGCAGGUAACUUAAAAUGGUAGAACAUCUCUCAUCUUUUAACAUUAUCGAGCAAAAAUCUUGAAAAGAAAAGGUAAAUUGAAUUUUAGAGGGACCAAUCAGCAUGAGAAUCGUACGCUUCCGCACUAAAGCAUGAAAUUUACAGGGAUUCGUCUUCACUCUGUAGAGAUUUGAUAGGUACAAAGGCAGAUCUCAAAUGGACUGCAUUUUGCAAUUUGGAACUAUAAAUUCUGGCUCAUCUGAAAAAACACUUAUGUGCAUAGGGAAACUAAUGGCACAUACGUUGUUUUCAAACCGGGCCAGAAUUUAUAGUUCCAAAUU